UACUAGGUGAGACAGGUUUCUGUACCUAAUGCUAUGAUAUGAAUCCUCAUAGAAUUCAUCAGUUUAAGUAAAAUGCAAUGUUGAGAUCACCUAGCAAGAUAAGUUUUUGGCUUAGCUGACUACAGCUUUUGCAUAGAAAAAGCAAAGCCACUUAGUAGAGAAGGAAAAA